AGUGAACGCUGGCGGCAGGCCUAACACAUGCAAGUCGAGCGGCAGCGGGUCCUUCGGGAUGCCGGCGAGCGGCGGACGGGUGAGGAAUGCGUCGGAAUCUGCCUUUUUGUGGGGGAUAACGUAGGGAAACUUACGCUAAUACCGCAUACGACCUACGGGUGAAAGUGGGGGACCGCAAGGCCUCACGCCGAAAGAUGAGCCGACGUCGGAUUAGCUAGUUGGCGGGGUAAAGGCCCACCAAGGCGACGAUCCGUAGCUGGUCUGAGAGGAGGAUCAGCCAGACCGGGACUGCGACACGGCGCGGACUAUACCGGGAGGCAGGCGGGGCUAAUAGUGCAAUACGGGCGAAAGCAGGAUACAGUAAGGCCGCGGGGGUGGUGAGGGCCGGAGGGAGGAAAAGCCCUCGAACCAGGGAGCAUAAGGACGGGGCCGGGAGAAUAGGACCCGGCAAACGCCAGC
rnacentral:rRNA from 1 species